GCAGAUAUAGCUCAGUGGUAGAGCAUGAGCUUAGUGAGCAUGAGGUCCUGCAUUCAAUCUCCAGUACCUCCA
rnacentral:tRNA from 1 species